UGAUAGCUGUGAAGCGUGAGGUUGCCGUAUUUCGGUAACGGAAUACGGGUUUUCCGUGGAGCGAAUGUCAAGUUAGGAAACUGACGACAA
rnacentral:ncRNA from 1 species